UUUGCCUUGUUCUUUCUGCCUCUGGAAGAAGAAGUAAAGAUGACAGACAACUAGGACUUAACUGAUCCCAGAGCAGAAAACCAUGCCAGGCAACCAGGAAGCAAAGCCCCCAGAAAGAGAAGCAGGGACAGACGAGCAGGAGUUAGCCAUUAAGGAGGGAGUAGACCCAUGCCAGCCCACCCGGAGGGAAGGUCCCUGAAGGGCAGCUGGAGAAGAAUGAAUGGAAGCAGGAAAUGAAGCUCAGGAACAAAU